rnacentral:misc_RNA from 1 species
UGGCAUCUCCAAACCACUG